AACGAAUGAGAUCACAAAUGAAAUAGUAGAGGAGGAGAAGAAAAGAGGGCCCAGGACAGAGUCUUAGGGAACACUUAUGGUUAAUGGGCAUGACCUGAAUAAAGAUCCAGCAAGAGAGUCUGAAAAGUGGUCAGAUCGUUCGAAGGAAAGUCAGGGGAGUGUCACUAAAAUCUAGCGAGAAGGGGGUAUCAAGGAGAAGAGAGUCACUGGGUUCACUCCAUGGCCUGAGGAACCGCUCAUCUUGGUUCCAGCGACAAGAUUUCAGAAUUUUUCUUCAGGAUGUUUUUGAAUCAACCACCGAUCAGCCAACCAGAAUAUAUGAAACACCUCUGGGUGCCUCUGCAGCUGUUCUUUUUCAUCUUCUGGGAAAGCCAGAAAGCAGGCGAGGGACCUGGGACACAAGGAAGGACAGAGAGCUGGGGAUUCAGAGUUAGAAGGAAAGGCCAGUCUUCCGAUUUUCCCGAUAAGUAAACGGAGACCCAGAGAGUUUGGGACAAUCAGAGUUACAGCCUAUGCUGCCCUAUAUGCUACCUUUCCACAUGGCAGCAAAUCCAUUUUCAAUGGGAAUAUAAAUAGAGAAUAUUGAUGAGCUACAUUUAAAAUAGGAAUAUCCAUCCAACAGUCCUAUACAUCACCAGUCUCCCUCAUGAUAACCAGUCUAUAAUGUUCACAGUCCUUAUGGUGACUCCAGACCCCUUUAGGAGCACCUUUAAACUGACUUUGAUUUGAAUGGCAGCUUUGUUCUUUAAACACACUCUUUCCCAUACACAUUCACUCUCAAAAAAAAAAAAAAAAAAAGUCUAUUAACAUGCACCCUGAGAAUAAUA